rnacentral:misc_RNA from 1 species
AAGUCGUAACAAGGUUUCCGUAGGUGAACCUGCGGAAGGAUCAUUACCGAAUUGUCAAACGGGUUGUUGCUGGUCCUCAAACGGAGACACGUGCACGCUCUGUUUACACAUCCACUCACACCUGUGCACCCUCUGUAGUUCUGUGGUCUGGGGGACCCUGUCUUCCUGCCGUGGUUCUAUGUCUUUACACACACACACUGUAACAAAGUCUUAUGGAAUGUAUGCCGCGUCUAACGCAAUACAAUACAACUUUCAGCAACGGAUCUCUUGGCUCUC